rnacentral:rRNA from 1 species
AUUGAACGCUGGCGGCAUGCUUUACACAUGCAAGUCGAACGGUAACAGGGUGCUUGCACCGCUGACGAGUGGCGAACGGGUGAGUAAUGCGCCGGAACGUGCCGAGUAGUGGGGGAUAACGCAGCGAAAGUUGUGCUAAUACCGCAUACGUACUGAGGUAGAAAGUGGGGGACCUUCGGGCCUCACGCUAUUCGAGCGGCCGACGUCUGAUUAGCUAGUAGGUGAGGUAAAGGCUCACCUAGGCGACGAUCAGUAGCGGGUCUGAGAGGAUGAUCCGCCACACUGGGACUGAGACACGGCCCAGACCCCGGCGGGAGGCAGCAGUGGGGAAUUUUGGACAAUGGGCGAAAGCCUGAUCCAGCCAUGCCGCGUGUCUGAAGAAGGCCUUCGGGUUGUAAAGGACUUUUGUCAGGGAGGAAAUCCCUAGUGCUAAUAACACUGGGGGAUGACAGUACCUGAAGAAUAAGCACCGGCUAACUACGUGCCAGCAGCCGCCGCGUAA